ACUCAAACAUAAAAAAAAAAGAGGAGAAAAAGGGAAAGCAAUGAGCUAUGUCAGAGACAAGAGAAAAACGAACUACAUCUAAAACGCAAGGGACCUCAUCUCAAUGAGGAAGAAAACUCUUGUCAAAAAUCCUCAGUCUCUAAGGAGGAACCCAACACUAGCAGGAGAAAAUAGACUUCCUCAAAGUAACGAGAUGUUCAGACCCCA
rnacentral:lncRNA from 1 species